rnacentral:tRNA from 1 species
GCUCUCAUAGCUUAGUGGUCAGAGUAUUGGUGCGUAAAACCAAAAAUCCCGGGUUCUAAUCUCGGUGUGAGGG